rnacentral:rRNA from 1 species
UACGAAGGGGGCGAGCGUUGUUCGGAAUUACUGGGCGUAAAGCGCACGUAGGCGGCUUUGUAAGUUAGAGGUGAAAGCCCGGGGCUCAACUCCGGAAUUGCCUUUAAGACUGCAUCGCUAGAAUUGUGGAGAGGUAAGUGGAAUUCCGAGUGUAGAGGUGAAAUUCGUAGAUAUUCGGAAAGAACACCAGUGGCGAAGGCGACUUACUGGACACAUAUUGACGCUGAGGUGCGAAAAGCGUGGGGAGCAAACAGG